AAUAUUGGACAAUGGGCGAAAGCCUGAUCCAGCCAUGCCGCGUGAAGGAAGAAGGCCNNNGGGUUNUCAACUUCUUUGACCGGNGACNAAAAAAAUGACGGUACCCGGAAAACAAGCCACGGCUAACUACGUGCCAGCAGCCGCGGUAAUACGUAGGUGGCAAGCGUUGUCCGGAUUUACUGGGUGUAAAGGGCGUGUAGGCGGGUUUUUAAGUCAGAUGUGAAAUACCGGGGCUCAACUCCGGGGCUGCAUCUGAAACUGGAGAUCUUGAGUACUGGAGGGGAAAGUGGAAUUCCUAGUGUAGCGGUGAAAUGCGUAGAGAUUAGGAGGAACACCAGUGGCGAAGGCGGCUUUCUGGACAGUAACUGACGCUGAGGCGCGAAAGCGUGGGGAGCAAACAGG
rnacentral:rRNA from 1 species